UACAGAGGGGGCAAGCGUUGUUCGGAAUUACUGGGCGUAAAGGGCGCGUAGGCGGCCUUUUAAGUCGAACGUGAAAUCCCCGGGCUCAACCCGGGAACUGCGUCCGAUACUGGAAGGCUUGAAUCCGGGAGAGGGAUGUGGAAUUCCAGGUGUAGCGGUGAAAUGCGUAGAUAUCUGGAGGAACACCGGUGGCGAAGGCGACAUCCUGGACCGGUAUUGACGCUGAGGCGCGAAAGCCAGGGGAGCAAACGGG
rnacentral:rRNA from 1 species